GUGAAAAAUAGCUCUUUAAAAUUUGGUUCCUAAUCUAAGACUUUUCUUGGGAGAAUUGGGGAAUUUCUUAUUGUUUUAGUGUUAAUACAGAACUCAGCAUCAGGACUUUUCCUGCUUCUAGAAGAAUCUUUAGUGCCUUCUAUUCAUUGGCAAAAGUUGUCACCUGUUUCUUAGUUAUGACCCUGUGUGUUUAUUUUUCUUCCAAGAGAAAAGUUGUCACUUGAAUUUGAACUUUGUGUUUUUCCAGUAGUAAAGGAAGUUGAACUUUAGACCUUUGCUGAAAUUGUUUCAUGAUAUAGUCCUGUGGCCAGGAUUAGUUAAUUUGAUUUUCUUUUUGAAAAAAUUUUAUUUGUAGAAGGACACAAUAAUUUUAUUUAUUUUUUAUGUGGUGCUGAGUAUCGAACCAUUGCCUUACAUUUGCUAGGCAAGUGCUCUAUCACUGAGCCACAACCCCAGUCCAGUUAAUUUGAUUAUACUUCAGUGUAUAUAAUUAAACCAGUUUUUAUCUUCAUUAAGGAGACAAGUUAAUUUUGUUCCAAAAUGGUGAACAUGCAGAGUUUUAUCCACACAAAUAUUUGCUUCUUAG
rnacentral:lncRNA from 1 species